rnacentral:rRNA from 1 species
AUGCUCUCGGAUCUAGCUAGAUUACUAGAAGGCUUUUUGUUGUCUUUUUGGCUGUUUGGCACCUCGCUUUUUCCUCAUCGAAAAGGGGGGCGGGUUUGUCCUAGAGCUGAUUUCUUUACAUAUGAGGCUUUUGUUCGUUUGCCUGAUGUGUUACCCUCCUUUCAGGACUGUAGGACUUUCAGGAUAGACCUUCCUAUCAAUUUUUAUUUGAUAAACUUAACAUAUCUCAUGGAAAUUCUGGUAUCAGAUGUGUUUUUUGCGGCGGCUGUUCUUGCAUAUUUGUACGUUGUAGCAGAUUUAGUGACAAAAACGUUUGUAAGUCCUGGAGCAUCAGUAUAUUUAAAUUUAUUUUCCUUUUGCCCAUUUUGUUUGAUGUAUUUUGUCAAGAGGAAUUGA